GAUGAACGCUGGCGGCGUGCCUAAUACAUGCAAGUCGAGCGAACAGAUAAGGAUCUUGCUCCUUUGACGUUAGCGGCGGACGGGUGAGUAACACGUGGGUAACCUACCUAUAAGACUGGAAUAACUCCGGGAAACCGGGGCUAAUGCCGGAUAACAUUUAGAACCGCAUGGUUCUAAAGUGAAAGAUGGUUUUGCUAUCACUUAUUGAUGGACCCUCGCCGUAUUGGCUAGUUGGUAAGGUAACGGCUUACCAAGGCAACGAUACGUAGCCGACCUGAGAGGGUGAGCGGCCACCCUGGAACUGAGACACGGUCCAGACUCCUACGGGAGGCAGCAGUAGGGAAUCUUCCGCAAGGGGCGAAAGACUGACGGAGCAACGCCGCGUGAGUGAUGAAGGUCUUCGGAUCGUAAGACUCUGUUAUUAGGGAAGAAAAAAUGUGUAAGUAACUGUGCACGUCUUGACGGUACCUAAUCAGAAAGCCACGGCUAACUACGUG
rnacentral:rRNA from 1 species